ACAGAUCGUUCAGAGUUUGAUCCUGGCUCAGGAUGAACGCUGGCGGCGCGUUUAACACAUGCAAGUCGAGCGAGAUGUUUCUCAGUAGAUUCUUCGGAUGAUACAGAGUUACGGAAAGCGGCGGACGGGUGAGUAACGCGUAGGCAACCUGCCCCUUGCAGAGGGAUAGCCUCGGGAAACCGGGAUUAAAACCUCAUAAUGCGGCACUGAGACAUCUCAGAGCCGCCAAAGAUUUAUCGGCAAGGGAUGGGCCUGCGUCUGAUUAGUUAGUUGGUGGGGUAACGGCCUACCAAGGCGACGAUCAGUAGCCGACCUGAGAGGGUGAUCGGCCACAUUGGAACUGAGACACGGUCCAA
rnacentral:rRNA from 1 species